rnacentral:rRNA from 1 species
GAUUAUGGCUCAGGAUGAACGCUGGCGGCGUGCUUAACACAUGCAAGUCGAACGGAGUUAUAUGAAACCUAGUGAUUAUAAACUUAGUGGCGGACGGGUGAGUAACGCGUGGGUAACCUGCCUUAUACCGGGGGACAACAGUUAGAAAUGACUGCUAAUACCGCAUAAGCGCACGGUGUCGCAUGACACAGUGUGAAAAACUCCGGUGGUAUAAGAUGGACCCGCGUCUGAUUAGCCAGUUGGUGAGGUAACGGCCCACCAAAGCAACGAUCAGUAGCCGGCCUGAGAGGGUGAACGGCCACAUUGGGACUGAGACACGGCCCAAACUCCUACGGGAGGCAGCAGUGGGGAAUAUUGGACAAUGGGGGAAACCCUGAUCCAAGCGACGCCGCGUGAGUGAAGAAGUAUUUCGGUAUGUAAAGCUCUAUCAGCAAGGAAGAUAAUGACGGUACUUGACUAAGAAGCCCCGGCUAACUACGUGCCAGCCGCCGC